rnacentral:rRNA from 1 species
CCUACGGGAGGCAGCAGUGGGGAAUCUUAGACAAUGGGCGCAAGCCUGAUCUAGCCAUGCCGCGUGUGUGAUGAAGGUCUUAGGAUCGUAAAGCACUUUCGCCAGGGAUGAUAAUGACAGUACCUGGUAAAGAAACCCCGGCUAACUCCGUGCCAGCAGCCGCGGUAAUACGGAGGGGGUUAGCGUUGUUCGGAAUUACUGGGCGUAAAGCGUACGUAGGCGGAUUGGAAAGUUGGGGGUGAAAUCCCAGGGCUCAACCCUGGAACUGCCUCCAAAACUAUCAGUCUAGAGUUCGAGAGAGGUGAGUGGAAUUCCAAGUGUAGAGGUGAAAUUCGUAGAUAUUUGGAGGAACACCAGUGGCGAAGGCGGCUCACUGGCUCGAUACUGACGCUGAGGUACGAAAGUGUGGGGAGCAAACAGGAUUAGAUACCCUGGUAG